rnacentral:lncRNA from 1 species
GCUUGUUGAGUUAUUUUGAAAUCUUUUAUGCACUUUUCUGUUGAGUGCCUUUAUUUUAAACUAUGAGAUAUGCCUAUCUUUAAUUCAGAAAUCUAAAUGCAAUCUUAUGUUGUUCCACCGAGGUUGAUUUUCAAAAUGUGUAUAUCUAAUAUUUCUUACUGCAGCUUUAAGCUUCACUGUCAUCUAACUUUGUCUAGUUAAUUUUUGUUAUCUGUCUUUGAACCUAUAAAAUGGGUGAUAUGUACACUUGUCGUUAACUACAUGUGUUUCCUGAACAUGUCUAAAGUUUUUAUAAGAAAUACAGUUCUGAGCUCGGGCAAUCGUAGGAUGACUAGACACAUACUACAUAUGAUUUGAGAUGUGUAUGUAUGCAGUUUCACCCUUUGCUAAAAAAUGUGCUAUACAAUGUAGACUUUGUGAAGCCACAUGAGCUAGGGGUUGCACCGCAGGAGCAUAGCGUGUACAAGUACUGAACAUUGAAGAUUGCAUUGCAGCUCAUCAGUAUGCCUUCCUUGCAAUCUUUGAAGCCAAUUAAAUUCGGAAGUGUUAUUUUUUUGUACAAGUUUCUAUGUGUCAAGUACUUGCUAAUUGAUGUUUUGAGGGGUGCUCAUAUACUUACUCGGCAACAUGGAAAGUUUUCACAUUUGUUCUAGCGGUGUCUAUGGGUUAGCGACUUAGCAUACAUGUUGUAAUAAGGUUUCACAUUUGCUUCUCUGACAAGUAAGGUCUGUUUUUAUUCAUAGGUAGAAGAUAGCGAAAGAGUGCUGCAGGAUAAUG